CUCAAACGAUGAGGAAACGCACAUACACAGUGCAAGAACGAUAAGAUAGAGGGGUCACAUACAGAACACAUAUAGAGGAAGAGUGUUGGGCCACAUCCGCAGGAAGUCCAGGACUCAAGCUUUGGCCUUCUUUCAUCUUCUGACCUUUUCUGCCGGGAAGUCUCUGGUGUCAGGCGUCUCUGUCUUUCUUUGCUGACAGGUUCUCACUGACUCUAACAAGCUCUAACUUUAAAAGAGGAAACAGCCAUUCAUUACUGUGAGAUGCUCCAUGGAGAGAGUGAGCUGAUGGCUGUGUGCUGGAAUCAUGUACCCCAGCAGGAGAGCCCGGAUCGGGGCUGUGAGAGUCACCUCUCCCCCCUGCUGGAGGCACAUGUCUCAUGGAGCUACAAACUGCGGGAGAAGAACACAUGACCUGACCUAUCAGCAGCUCAA